rnacentral:rRNA from 1 species
GACAGAGGUCCCAAGCGUUAGGCGGAAUCACUGGGCUUAAAGCGUGUGUAGGCGGAUGCCUAAGUCCCUUGUGAAAUCCCACGGCUCACCCGUGGAACUGCUUGGUAUACUGGGUGUCUUGAGCCACUUAGGGGCUACCGGAACAAAUGGUGGAGCGGUGAAAUGCGUAGAUAUCAUUUGGAACGCCAAUGGUGAAAACAGGUAGCUGGGAGUGUGCUGACGCUGAGACACGAAAGCCAGGGGAGCAAACGGG